rnacentral:rRNA from 1 species
GAACGUACGCUGGCGGCACGCCUAACACAUGCAAGUCGAACGAAGUAGCAAUACUUAGUGGCAGACGGGUGAGUAACAUGUAGGUAUCUGCCCUUUGGCCUGGAAUAACACGAGGAAACUUGUGCUAAUACCGGAUAAGUCUUUACGGAGAAAGCUUUAUGCACCAUUGGAUGAGCCUGCACUUGAUUAGUUUGUUGGUGGGGUAAUGGCCUACCAAGACUGUGAUCAAUAGCUGAUUUGAGAGGAUGAUCAGCCACAUUGGGACUGAGACACGGCCCAAACUCCUACGGGAGGCAGCAGUGGGGAAUCUUGCACAAUGGAGGAAACUCUGAUGCAGCGAUGCCGCGUGAGUGAAGAAGGCCUUUGGGUUGUAAAGCUCUUUCGUCGGGGAAGAAAAUGACUGUACCCGAAUAAGAAGGUCCGGCUAACUUCGUGCCAGCAGCCGCGGUAAUACGAAGGGACCUAGCGUAGUUCGGAAUUACUGGGCUUAAAGAGUUCGUAGGUGGUUGAAAAAGUUAGUGGUGAAAUCCCAGAGCUUAACUCUGGAACUGCCAUUAAAACUUUUCAGCUAGAGUACGAUAGAGGAAAGCAGAAUUUCUAGUGUAGAGGUGAAAUUCGUAGAUAUUAGAAAGAAUACCAAUUGCGAAGGCAGCUUUCUGGAUCAUUACUGACACUGAGGAACGAAAGCAUGGGUAGCGAAGAGGAUUAGAUACCCUCGUAGUCCAUGCCGUAAACGAUGUGUGUUAGACGUUGGAAAUUUAUUCUCAGUGUCGCAGCGAAAGCGAUAAACACACCGCCUGGGGAGUACGACCGCAAGGUUAAAACUCAAAUGAAUUGACGGGGACCCGCACAAGUAGUGGAGCAUGUGGUUUAAUUCGAAGAUACGCGCAGAACCUUACCAACACUUGACAUGUUCGUCGCGACUCUAAGAGAUUAGAGUUUUCGGUUCGGCCGGACGAAACACAGGUGCUGCAUGGCUGUCGUCAGCUCGUGUCGUGAGAUGUUGGGUUAAGUCCCGCAACGAGCGCAACCCUCACUUUUAGUUGCCAUCAUUAAGUUGGGCACUCUGAAAGAACUGCCAGUGAUAAGCUGGAGGAAGGUGGGGAUGACGUCAAGUCCUCAUGGCCCUUACGUGUUGGGCUACACACGUGCUACAAUGGUAUCUACAACAGGAAGCAAGACUGCGAAGUUAAGCAAAUCCCUAAAAGAUACCUCAGUUCGGAUUGCACUCUGCAACUCGAGUGCAUGAAGCUGGAAUUACUAGUAAUCGUGGAUCAGCGUGCCACGGUGAAUGCGUUCCCGGGUCUUGUACUCACC